GACGAACGCUGGCGGCGUGCUUAACACAUGCAAGUCGAACGAAGAGCGAUGGAAGCUUGCUUCUAUCAAUCUUAGUGGCGAACGGGUGAGUAACGCGUAAUCAACCUGCCCUUCAGAGGGGGACAACAGUUGGAAACGACUGCUAAUACCGCAUACGAUCUAAUCUCGGCAUCGAGGAUAGAUGAAAGGUGGCCUCUACAUGUAAGCUAUCACUGAAGGAGGGGAUUGCGUCUGAUUAGCUAGUAGGAGGGGUAACGGCCCACCAAGGCGAUGAUCAGUAGCCGGUCUGAGAGGAUGAACGGCCACAUUGGGACUGAGACACGGCCCAGACUCCUACGGGAGGCAGCAGUGGGGAAGCUUCCGCAAUGGACGAAAGUCUGACGGAGCAACGCCGCGUGAGCGAUGACGGCCUUCGGGUUGUAAAGCUCUGUUAAUCGGGACGAAAGGCCUUCUUGCGAAUAGUGAGAAGGAUUGACGGUACCGGAAUAGAAAGCCACGGCUAACUACGUG
rnacentral:rRNA from 1 species